rnacentral:rRNA from 1 species
UACGAAGGGGGCUAGCGUUGCUCGGAAUCACUGGGCGUAAAGCGCACGUAGGCGGGUUGUUAAGUCGGGGGUGAAAUCCCGGAGCUCAACUCCAGAACUGCCUUCGAUACUGGCGACCUUGAGUCCGGGAGAGGUGAGUGGAACUCCGAGUGUAGAGGUGAAAUUCGUAGAUAUUCGGAAGAACACCGGUGGCGAAGGCGGUGAUCUGGGCCGGCACUGACGCUGAGGAGCGAAAGCGUGGGUAGCAAACAGG